CCCAAACCUCUCUCGCACGCGGGGACUGAGCACGGCCCGAAAAGCCGAGGACAGCCGGACUCACCCUGUAGUUAUAGUAGUGCGUCUGCACAAGAUGCCGGUGGCGCGACUUGUGGUUGCCGAAGUUGGAUUUCUCGCAAACCAAGAUGGGGUCUUGCUGUGUUGCCCAGACUGGUCUCAAACUCCUGAGCUCAAGUGAUCCACCCACCGUGGCCUCCCAAAGUGCUGAGAUUAAAGUUGCACAGGGUACCUCAGACCCACAUCCCAGAUGACAUUCCUCAGAAGCUCGCAGCUGGAGAUGACAUCACCUUAGACAACAUCACCCUAGCCCAAGACAUCGCUAUUAGAGAUACAUCACCUGGACACUAAAGCCUCCAACCCAGUGACACUCUCAAGGUGCUGACAAAAUGGACAUGGACAUUUGUUGCUUUUCUUCUUUUGAAUUAGGAACUCUAUUGUGUUUCCUGAAUUUACUGUCUGCUUGGCCCAUGAUCCUGGUAUGUUCCUUGCUCUCUGCCAAAACAUGCACCGUCCCCUCCACACCUAAAGGAAAACCUGGUAGAAGCUACUACUCUCAAUGCCAUUCUAAAAUUGACGAAGAGUAUUAUUUUCCCCAAGAGGCAGCUGCUGCAGGCCAGUGAAUCCUCUGGACCCUGGGGAGAGGGUCAUACACUCCCUAGUGACUUCUACUGUAUGCUCCAGCUUUCCACCAGGACCUCCUGCCCUGUCCCCAACUGUAACGACCACAACCACCCCAUCCCCUUGGUUACACACAAAUAUCACCAGUCUUUACAUGUACUUUACUGACUUCUCAGAUAAUACCCUCCAACAAGAUAACUGCAGGACUUGCCACCAUGACCUGAGAAAUACACCAAGAUAUUAUUGUCCAAUUUUUUUGAGAUAUAUAUAUAUUUCUCAUACUUUUAACAUACUCUGCAAUCCACCAAGAUAUUGGUAGAGACCCUGGAAAUUUCAAAUCUAUUUCGUCUGCUAAUGCCAUGUGAAUGGGAAACUUAGAUACAGGCUGGCCUACAAGGACUCCUUAUACUUCAAUUUUUGUUCCUCCUUUCAACUCUCAUAAAAAAUAUUUUCUGUACUAUUUAGGGCAAAUGAUGGCCUUCUUUCUAAGUCUCAUCCAUCAUUGCUGCAAAGGUGCCUUAGUUUGAUGUUAAAGUGUCACAGGGCCAAUGUAUUGACCAUGUUUCUGGCGUCUAUAAAGUCGAUGUUUUAAUAUCUGUC
rnacentral:lncRNA from 10 species